UUGUCAUACCAUUAGCAAAAUGGAUUCUUGUUGUUCUGACCAGUCGUCUAAGUUCAAAUCAUCUAUUGAUUCAAUGCAAUCUUUUUUCAAUCCUACGCCAUUUGAAACGUGUGAGUCAUUUUCCUUAAAGACAAAAUUUAAUGGUGUCUUAGGAGGCAUGCUUCCAUUUAAACAACGAAACGGCAUUGUGUCGUAAGCAUCAGUCAAAUCCUCAGGACCGGUGAUCCUCAAUCGCUUGGGG